GGACAUGAAGGCUAGCUGGCUGCAACAUCUGUCACCCCAUUGAUCGCCAGGAUUAAUUCAGCUGAUCCGGCUGGCUAGGCAGGUGUCCCCUUCCUCCCUCAGCACUUCAUGUGCAUCCCUCCCAAAGCUGAGUGCUAGUAGAACAAGAUGAUGGCCUUCCCCAAUAAAGGAGAACCAUUCUUCAGUCAAAGGUAUAUGAGUAGCUGUGCUCUCCUGCUAGACCCUCCAAACAAGCUCUCAAGAAAAUUAGACAAAGAGUUAGAAGGACACAGUUCUGAACAUAACUUUACCACUUAUUAGCUGUGACCUUGGUAAACUCAGCAUCGUUGAAU
rnacentral:snRNA from 1 species